GAGUUUGAUCCUGGCUCAGGACGAACGCUGGCGGCACGCCUAACACAUGCAAGUCGAACGGAGAUAUUUUGGUUUACUGAGAUAUYUUAGUGGCGGACGGGUGAGUAACACGUGAGCAACCUGCCUYUGAGAGAGGGAUAGCUUCUGGAAACGGAUGGUAAUACCUCAUAACAUAACGAAGCCGCAUGACUUUGUUAUCAAAGAUUUAUCACUCAGAGAUGGGCUCGCGUCUGAUUAGAUAGUUGGUGAGGUAACGGCUCACCAAGUCGACGAUCAGUAGCCGGACUGAGAGGUUGAACGGCCACAUUGGGACUGAGACACGGCCCAGACUCCUACGGGAGGCAGCAGUGGGGAAUAUUGCACAAUGGGGGAAACCCUGAUGCAGCGAUGCCGCGUGGAGGAAGAAGGUUUUCGGAUUGUAAACUCCUGUCUAAAGGACGAUAAUGACGUACUAGAGAG
rnacentral:rRNA from 1 species